rnacentral:lncRNA from 1 species
UGUCACACUUCUUUCUUUUUUUUGUUAUUCUUUUUCUUAACUGAACUAGAAAUAUAAAACAACUAAGGGUAUAUUUAUUUCAACGUAAGUAGACUUGGGGUGAAAGUGAACUUUAGAUUGAAGUGGAGUUUAGGUACAAAUUAAUUCACUUCCGCUGUUUGUUUAACUGUGAAAGUGUAGUUCUGUGAGUUCUGUUGUUUAUUUAGUAGGAAGUAGAUGACGUAAAAAGUGUAGCUCUCCAUCCCCGGCAUACUUACCUCCGAAGUGAUAUUAUUGUCUAUUUUGUAAAUUAGUGAAUAAUAAAUUAUAAUAAAUAAAAAUUAAUAUAAUUAUAUAUAUGUAUAAUUAUAAAAUAAAAUUUAAAAAAAUUAUAUUAUUUGUUUGCAUAUAAAUUAUUAUAAUGUAACAAAUAAAAUUCUAAAAUUAAAAAAUUAUUAACAUUUAACAAAUUCAUUUUUCAUCAUUUUCUAAAUAUACAAAUUAGACAAAAAAUAUUUUAAAACUUAUCUAACCAAAUUUGAUCACAUUACCUAACCAAAUUUAACAAGCUCCUUUGCCUCUUUGCACUUCACCGGAAUUGACUUCGCCCCGUGAGAGGGCGAAGUCAAUUACCCUAUUUUGGGUGAACUCGACUUUCGGCCGUAAUAAAAUUACGACAAAACAAACAACGAAAGUGAUAGUUUACGGCGUAAACAACUUCCCCCCUCUCCACUUCCGCCUCACUUUCACCCAAACAAACACACCCUAAACUUUAAACUUAGAACCUCGCGUAUUUAGUAUUAAUCCUUUAGCUGACAACAUUAGAUAUGGUCGGAAAGUUUUUAAAAUUUCAGUAAAAAAAAAAAAGAGAAAACAUAUUAAGACAGGAGUGAGGCUACUAUGCUAUCGGAAGCACGGAGCCUUCCGUGUUUCCAGCUCGUUUUCGAUGUUGCGACUUUCGAAUCGUCGAUCGGCUCCGUUAAACUUGAUCUAGAGUAUUUGAAGUACCUAGAAAAUAAAUUUUAUGAUUUUACGAUAUCAUUUGCCUAGUGAACGAAGGGGCUCAAAAUCAACGGCUGAAAAUAAAAAUCUUACAAAAUGUAAUAAUAUGACAUUAAAAUUUUAAAUCAAAGAUAUUGAUCUUGUUUUAUAUAGUAUAAAGAAUCUUCUAUCAAAAUUUCACGUAAUUUGGAUAUUUCUACACCGUUAAACUUGCAAACGGCUCACUACGGCCGUUAAAAUUUGUUGAUUUUGAGCCAAUUCGAUCACUAGGCAAAUGAUAUCGAAAAAUAAUAAAAUUUAUUUUCUAGGUACUCCAAAUACUCUAGAUCAAGUUUAAUGGAGCCGAUCGACGAUUCGAAAGUUGCAACAUCAAAAACGAACUGGAAGUAGAAAAGGCUCCGUACUUCCGAUAGUACAGUAGCCUCACUCUUCAGACAGAUAAAGUAAUACAAAUCAGAAGCAGUUAAGGGUAUAAGAUUUACACUUAUACUAUAGAAUGUACGGAUAGUAUUGCUUAUAGU